GACGAGCGCUGGCGGCGUGCCUAAUACAUGCAAGUAGAACGCUGAAGCUUGGUGCUUGCACCGAGCGGAUGAGUUGCGAACGGGUGAGUAACGCGUAGGUAACCUGCCUGGUAGCGGGGGAUAACUAUUGGAAACGAUAGCUAAUACCGCAUAAGAGUAGAUGUUGCAUGACAUUUGCUUAAAAGGUGCAAUUGCAUCACUACCAGAUGGACCUGCGUUGUAUUAGCUAGUUGGUGAGGUAACGGCUCACCAAGGCAACGAUACAUAGCCGACCUGAGAGGGUGAUCGGCCACACUGGGACUGAGACACGGCCCAGACUCCUACGGGAGGCAGCAGUAGGGAAUCUUCGGCAAUGGACGGAAGUCUGACCGAGCAACGCCGCGUGAGUGAAGAAGGUUUUCGGAUCGUAAAGCUCUGUUGUAAGAGAAGAACGAGUGUGAGAGUGGAAAGUUCACACUGUGACGGUAGCUUACCAGAAAGGGACGGCUAACUACGUG
rnacentral:rRNA from 1 species